UAACUCUUCACUGUUAUUUUCUAAAUACUAACAUUAUAGAAUCUGCCAGAACAAUUUUUUUGUAUAGUAUAGUUAUAUUAAUAAGAUUUCCAUUUCAACAUUUACCUGUAUAAAUAGGUACAUUUUUUAUUUGUAGCAUCUCCAUUUUAUCGUUGGAAUAAAAUUUACAGUGGCAGCUUUAGAUCAACUUUACCCGGAAUUCAUAAUGCAUUGCAUUAGCAUAACAGUGAUUUAAAGGAUUAAUACACUUCGCAUA